rnacentral:rRNA from 1 species
UACGAAGGGGACUAGCGUUGUUCGGAUUUACUGGGCGUAAAGCGCGCGUAGGCGGAUCGCUAAGUCAGGGGUGAAAUCCCAAGGCUCAACCUUGGAACUGCCUUUGAUACUGACGAUCUGGAGAUUGGGAGAGGUGAGUGGAAUUCCGAGUGUAGAGGUGAAAUUCGUAGAUAUUCGGAGGAACACCAGAAGCGAAGGCGGCUCACUGGCCCAAUACUGACGCUGAGGCGCGACAGCGUGGGGAGCAAACAGG